rnacentral:rRNA from 1 species
CCCGCGGCCUAUCAGCUUGUUGGUGGGGUAAUGGCCUACCAAGGCGACGACGGGUAGCCGACCUGAGAGGGUGAUCGGCCACACUGGGACUGAGACACGGCCCAGACUCCUACGGGAGGCAGCAGUGGGGAAUAUUGCACAAUGGGCGCAAGCCUGAUGCAGCGACGCCGCGUGAGGGAUGACGGCCUUCGGGUUGUAAACCUCUUUCAGUAGGGACGAAGCUUCGGUGACGGUACUUGCAGAAGAAGCACCGGCCAACUACGUGCCAGCAGCCGCGGUAAUACGUAGGGUGCGAGCGUUGUCCGGAAUUACUGGGCGUAAAGAGCUCGUAGGCGGUUUGUCGCGUCGUCUGUGAAAUUCUGCAACUCAACUGCAGGCGUGCAGGCGAUACGGGCAGACUUGAGUACUACAGGGGAGACUGGAAUUCCUGGUGUAGCGGUGAAAUGCGCAGAUAUCAGGAGGAACACCGGUGGCGAAGGCGGGUCUCUGGGUAGUAACUGACGCUGAGGAG